rnacentral:rRNA from 1 species
UGGUGGAGCAUGUGGUUUAAUUCGAUGCAACGCGAAGAACCUUACCAAGGCUUGACAUAUACCGGAAACGUUCAGAAAUGUUCGCCCCGCAAGGUCGGUAUACAGGUGGUGCAUGGUUGUCGUCAGCUCGUGUCGUGAGAUGUUGGGUUAAGUCCCGCAACGAGCGCAACCCUCGUCGUAUGUUGCCAGCACGUAAUGGUGGGAACUCAUAUGAGACUGCCGGGGUCAACUCGGAGGAAGGUGGGGAUGACGUCAAAUCAUCAUGCCCCUUAUGUCUUGGGCUUCACGCAUGCUACAAUGGCUGGUACAAUGGGCUGCAAUACCGCGAGGUGGAGCGAAUCCCAAAAAGCCAGUCUCAGUUCGGAUUGGGGUCUGCAACUCGACCCCANGAAGUCG